rnacentral:rRNA from 1 species
ACGAACGCUGGCGGCACGCUUAACACAUGCAAGUCGAACGAGAGAAGAGAAGCUUGCUUUUCUGAUCUAGUGGCGGACGGGUGAGUAACACGUGAGCAAUCUGCCUUUCAGAGGGGGAUACCGAUUGGAAACGAUCGUUAAUACCGCAUAAUAUAAUUGAACCGCAUGAUUUGAUUAUCAAAGAUUUAUCGCUGAAAGAUGAGCUCGCGUCUGAUUAGCUAGUUGGUAAGGUAACGGCUUACCAAGGCGACGAUCAGUAGCCGGACUGAGAGGUUGAUCGGCCACAUUGGGACUGAGACACGGCCCAGACUCCUACGGGAGGCAGCAGUGGGGAAUAUUGCACAAUGGAGGAAACUCUGAUGCAGCGAUGCCGCGUGAGGGAAGAAGGUUUUAGGAUUGUAAACCUCUGUCUUCAGGGACGAAAAAAGACGGUACCUGAGGAGGAAGCUCCGGCUAACUACGUGCCAGCAGCCGCGGUAAUACGUAGGGAGCGAGCGUUGUCCGGAAUUACUGGGUGUAAAGGGAGCGUAGGCGGGAUCGCAAGUCAGAUGUGAAAACUAUGGGCUUAACCCAUAAACUGCAUUUGAAACUGUGGUUCUUGAGUGAAGUAGAGGUAAGCGGAAUUCCUAGUGUAGCGGUGAAAUGCGUAGAUAUUAGGAGGAACAUCAGUGGCGAAGGCGGCUUACUGGGCUUUAACUGACGCUGAGGCUCGAAAGCGUGGGGAGCAAACAGGAUUAGAUACCCUGGUAGUCCACGCCGUAAACGAUGAUUACUAGGUGUGGGGGGACUGACCCCUUCCGUGCCGCAGCAAACGCAAUAAGUAAUCCACCUGGGGAGUACGACCGCAAGGUUGAAACUCAAAGGAAUUGACGGGGGCCCGCACAAGCAGUGGAGUAUGUGGAUUAAUUCGAAGCAACGCGAAGAACCUUACCAGGUCUUGACAUCGUAUGCAUAGCUCAGAGAUGAGUGAAAUCUCUUCGGAGACAUAUAGACAGGUGGUGCAUGGUUGUCGUCAGCUCGUGUCGUGAGAUGUUGGGUUAAGUCCCGCAACGAGCGCAACCCUUACUGUUAGUUGCUACGCAAGAGCACUCUAGCAGGACUGCCGUUGACAAAACGGAGGAAGGUGGGGAUGACGUCAAAUCAUCAUGCCCCUUAUGACCUGGGCCUCACACGUACUACAAUGGCUGUCAACAGAGGGAAGCAAAGCCGCGAGGUGGAGCAAACCCCUAAAAGCAGUCUUAGUUCGGAUUGUAGGCUGCAACCCGCCUACAUGAAGUCGGAAUUGCUAGUAAUCGCAGAUCAGCAUGCUGCGGUGAAUACGUUCCCGGGCCUUGUACACACCGCCCGUCACGCCAUGGGAGUCGGUAACACCCGAAGCCUGUAGUCUAACCGCAAGGAGGACGCAGUCGAAGGUGGGAUUGAUGACUGGGGUG